AGUGAACGCUGGCGGCGUGCUUAACACAUGCAAGUCGAACGAGAACGGGUUAUAGCUUGCUAUAAUUGUCAGCUAAGUGGCGCACGGGUGAGUAAUGUAUAGGUAAUAUGCCUCUUACUAAGGGAUAACAAAUGGAAACGUUUGCUAAUACCUUAUACUCCUUAUUAACAUAAGUUAAUAAGGGAAAGAUUUAUUGGUAAGAGAUUAGCCUGUAUUGUAUCAGUUAGUUGGUGGGGUAAUGGCUUACCAAGACUAUGACACAUAACUGGUUUGAGAGGAUGAUCAGUCACACUGGAACUGGGACACGGUCCAGACUCGUACGGGAGGCAGGCGUGGGGACUAUUGCACAAUGGACGAAGGUCUGAUGCAGCAACGCCGCGUGGAGGAUGACACAUUUCGGUGCGUAAACUCCUAUUAUAUGAGAAGAUAAUGACGGUAUUAUAUGAAUAAGCACCGGCUAACUCCGUGCCAGCCGCCGCAGUAA
rnacentral:rRNA from 1 species